rnacentral:misc_RNA from 1 species
AGCAGCCGCGGUAAUUCCAGCUCCAAUAGCGUAUAUUAAAGUUGUUGCAGUUAAAAAGCUCGUAGUUGAAUUUCGGGGUUAGUAGGUUGGUCAUGCCUCUGGUAUGUACUGGUCUCACUGAUUCCUCCUUCCUGAUGAGCCGUAAUGCCAUUAAUUUGGUGUUGCGGGGAAUUUGGACUGUUACUUUGAAAAAUUAGAGUGUUUAAAGCAAGCUAACGCUUGAAUACAUUAGCAUGGAAUAAUGAAAUAGGACGUUCGAUCCUAUUUUGUUGGUUUCUAGGAUUGACGUAAUGAUUAAUAGGGAUAGUUGGGGGCAUUAGUAUUCAAUUGUCAGAGGUGAAAUUCUUGGAUUUAUUGAAGACUAACUACUGCGAAAGCAUUUGCCAAGGAUGUUUUCAUUAAUCAAGAACGAAAGUUAGGGGAUCGAAGACGAUCAGAUACCGUCGUAGUCUUAACCAUAAACUAUGCCGACUAGGGAUCGGAUGAUGUUAAUUUUUAAUUGACUCAUU